GGCUGAGAGAUGAAUGUUGAUGGAAGGAGU
rnacentral:piRNA from 1 species